UACGGGGGGGGCAAGCGUUGUUCGGAAUUACUGGGCGUAAAGGGUUCGUAGGUGGCCAACUAAGUCAGACGUGAAAUCCCUCAGCUUAACUGGGGAACUGCGUCUGAUACUGGUCUGGCUUGAGUGCAGGAGAGGAACGCGGAAUUCCAGGUGUAGCGGUGAAAUGCGUAGAUAUCUGGAGGAACACCGGUGGCGAAGGCGGCAUCCUGGGCCGGUAUUGACGCUGAGGAGCGAAAGCCAGGGGAGCAAACGGG
rnacentral:rRNA from 1 species